CCUACGGGUGGCAGCAGUGGGGAAUAUUGGACAAUGGGCGAAAGCCUGAUCCAGCCAUGCCGCGUGUGUGAAGAAGGCCUUCGGGUUGUAAAGCACUUUCAGUGGGGAAGAAAGCCUUGGGGCUAAUACCCUCGAGGAAGGACAUCACCCACAGAAGAAGCACCGGCUAACUCCGUGCCAGCAGCCGCGGUAAUACGGAGGGUGCGAGCGUUAAUCGGAAUUACUGGGCGUAAAGCGCGCGUAGGCGGUCUGAUAAGCCGGUUGUGAAAGCCCCGGGCUCAACCUGGGAACGGCAUCCGGAACUGUCAGGCUAGAGUGCAGGAGAGGAAGGUAGAAUUCCCGGUGUAGCGGUUAAAUGCGUAGAGAUCGGGAGGAAUACCAGUGGCGAAGGCGGCCUUCUGGACUGACACUGACGCUGAGGUGCGAAAGCGUGGGUAGCAAACAGGAUUAGAUACCCCUGGUAGUC
rnacentral:rRNA from 1 species